rnacentral:rRNA from 1 species
GUUGUAUAGUCAAGUAAUUAAGUGCAUGUGGUGGAUGCCUUGGCAGUCAGAGGCGAUGAAAGACGUGAUAGCCUGCGAAAAGCUCCGGGGAGGCGGCAAAUAUCCUUUGAUCCGGAGAUGUCUGAAUGGGGGAACCCACCUACUUUAAGGUAGGUAUUGCAACAUGAAUACAUAGUGUUGCAAGGCGAACGAGGGGAAGUGAAACAUCUCAGUACCCUUAGGAAAAGAAAUCAAUUGAGAUUCCCUCAGUAGCGGCGAGCGAACGGGGAUCAGCCCAUUAAGUUAUGUGUGUUUUUAGUGGAACGCUCUGGGAAGUGCGAACGUAGAGGGUGAUAUUCCCGUACACGAAAGGGCACACAUAAUGAUGACGAGUAGGGCGAGGCACGUGAAACCUUGUCUGAAUAUGGGGGGACCAUCCUCCAAGGCUAAAUACUCCUGACUGACCGAUAGUGAACCAGUACCGUGAGGGAAAGGCGAAAAGAACCCCUGUGAGGGGAGUGAAAUAGAUCCUGAAACCGCAUGCAUACAAGCAGUGGGAGCACCUUCGUGGUGUGACUGCGUACCUUUUGUAUAAUGGGUCAGCGACUUAUAUUCAGUAGCAAGGUUAACCGUAUAGGGAGCCGUAGAGAAAUCGAGUCUUAAUAGGGCGUUUAGUUGCUGGGUAUAGACCCGAAACCAGGCGAUCUAUCCAUGAGCAGGUUGAAGGUUGGGUAACACUAACUGGAGGACCGAACCCACUGUCGUUGAAAAGCCAGGGGAUGACUUGUGGAUAGGGGUGAAAGGCUAAUCAAGCCUGGUGAUAGCUGGUUCUCCCCGAAAGCUAUUUAGGUAGCGCCUCGGACGAAUACCAUAGGGGGUAGAGCACUGUUUCGGCUAGGGGGUCAUCCCGACUUACCAAACCGAUGCAAACUCCGAAUACCUAUGAGUACUAUCCGGGAGACAGACUGCGGGUGCUAACGUCCGUAGUCAAGAGGAAAACAAUCCAGACCGCCAGCUAAGGCCCCAAAAUCAUAGUUAAGUGGGAAACGAUGUGGGAAGGCAUAGACAGCUAGGAGGUUGGCUUAGAAGCAGCCACCCUUUAAAGAAAGCGUAAUAGCUCACUAGUCGAGUCGGCCUGCGCGGAAGAUGUAACGGGGCUAAAACUAUGUGCCGAAGCUGCGGAUGUAUACUUUGUAUACGUGGUAGGGGAGCGUUCUGUAAGCCGAUGAAGGUGUGUUGAGAAGCAUGCUGGAGGUAUCAGAAGUGCGAAUGCUGACGUGAGUAACGACAAAACGGGUGAAAAACCCGUUCGCCGAAAGACCAAGGGUUCCAGUCCAACGUUAAUCGGGGCUGGGUGAGUCGACCCUAAGGCGAGGCCGAAAGGCGUAGUCGAUGGGAAAAUGGUUAAUAUUCCAUUACUUCUGUGUAAUGCGAUGAGAGGACGGAGAAGGCUAAAUCAGCCUGGCGUUGGUUGUCCAGGUGAAAGGAUGUAGGCAUGUAUCUUAGGCAAAUCCGGGGUACUCUAUGCUGAGAUCUGAUAGCAAGCUGUACUUGUACAGCGAAGUGGUUGAUGCCAUGCUUCCAGGAAAAGUCUCUAAGCUUCAGUUACACAGGAAUCGUACCCGAAACCGACACAGGUGGUCAGGUCGAGUAGACCAAGGCGCUUGAGAGAACUCUGCUGAAGGAACUAGGCAAAAUGGUACCGUAACUUCGGGAGAAGGUACGCUGUUGUUGGUGAUGGAACUCGCUUCCUGAGCUGACGACAGCCGCAGAAACCAGGCCGCUGCAACUGUUUAUUAAAACAUAGCACUCUGCAAACACGAAAGUGGACGUAUAGGGUGUGAUGCCUGCCCGGUGCUGGAAGGUUAAUUGAUGGGGUUAGCGUAAGCGAAGCUCUUGAUCGAAGCCCCAGUAAACGGCGGCCGUAACUAUAACGGUCCUAAGGUAGCGAAAUUCCUUGUCGGGUAAGUUCCGACCUGCACGAAUGGCAUAAUGAUGGCGGCGCUGUCUCCAGCAGAGGCUCAGUGAAAUCGAAAUCGCUGUGAAGAUGCAGUGUACCCGCGGCUAGACGGAAAGACCCCGUGAACCUUUACUGCAGCUUGACACUGAACUUUGACCUUACUUGUGUAGGAUAGGUGGGAGGCUUUGAAGCUGGAACGCUAGUUCCAGUGGAGCCGUCCUUGAAAUACCACCCUGGUAAUGUUGAGGUUCUAACUCUGUCCCGUGAUCCGGGACGAGGACCGUGUCUGGUGGGUAGUUUGACUGGGGCGGUCUCCUCCUAAAGAGUAACGGAGGAGUACGAAGGUGCGCUCAGCGUGGUCGGAAAUCACGCGUAGAGUAUAAAGGCAAAAGCGCGCUUAACUGCGAGACCCACAAGUCGAGCAGGUACGAAAGUAGGUCUUAGUGAUCCGGUGGUUCUGUAUGGAAGGGCCAUCGCUCAACGGAUAAAAGGUACUCUGGGGAUAACAGGCUGAUACCGCCCAAGAGUUCAUAUCGACGGCGGUGUUUGGCACCUCGAUGUCGGCUCAUCUCAUCCUGGGGCUGAAGCAGGUCCCAAGGGUAUGGCUGUUCGCCAUUUAAAGAGGUACGCGAGCUGGGUUUAGAACGUCGUGAGACAGUUCGGUCCCUAUCUACCGUGGGCGCUGGAAAUUUGAGAGGAUCUGCUCCUAGUACGAGAGGACCAGAGUGGACGAACCUCUGGUGUACGGUUGUGACGCCAGUCGCAUCGCCGGGUAGCUAUGUUCGGAAGGGAUAACCGCUGAAAGCAUCUAAGCGGGAAGCCUACCUCAAGAUAAGAUUUCCCUAGGACUUUAUGUCCUCUAAAGAGCCGUUCGAGACUAGGACGUUGAUAGGUUGGAUGUGGAAGCAUAGUGAUAUGUGAAGCUGACCAAUACUAAUUGCUCGUGAGGCUUGACUAUACAACACCCAAGCAGUUG